rnacentral:rRNA from 1 species
GCAGGCUGCAACUCGCCUGUAUGAAGUUGGAAUCGCUAGUAAUCGCGGAUCAGCAUGCCGCGGUGAAUACGUUCCCGGGCCUUGUACACACCGCCCGUCACACCAUGAGAGUCGGGAACACCCGAAGUCCGUAGCCUAACCGCAAGGGGGCGCGGCCGAAGGUGGGUUCGAUAAUUGGGGUGAAGUCGUAACAAGGUAGC